GACGUAGGGUGCAAGCGUUGUCCGGAUUUACUGGGCGUAAAGGGCGCGUAGGCGGCUCGUUAAGUGUGAAGUGAAAUUUUCAGGGCUUAACCCGAAAACUGCUUCGCAUACUGGCGGGCUUGAGGAACGCAGAGGUGACUAGAAUUCCCGGUGUAGCGGUGAAAUGCGUUGAUAUCGGGAGGAAUUCCCAUGGCGAAGGCAGGUCACUGGGCGUUCCCUGACGCUGAGGCGCGAAAGCGUGGGUAGCAAACAGG
rnacentral:rRNA from 1 species